GCCUCCCUACGGGACGCAGCAGUGAGGAAUAUUGGUCAAUGGUCGGGAGACUGAACCAGCCAAGCCGCGUGAGGGAUGAAGGUACAGAGUAUCGUAAACCUCUUUUGUCAGGGAACAAAGGCGGAGACGUGUCCCCGGAUGAGUGUACCUGAAGAAAAAGCAUCGGCUAACUCCGUGCCAGCAGCCGCGGUAAUACGGAGGAUGCGAGCGUUAUCCGGAUUUAUUGGGUUUAAAGGGUGCGUAGGCGGUCCGUUAAGUCAGCGGUAAAAUUGCGGGGC
rnacentral:rRNA from 1 species